rnacentral:rRNA from 1 species
GACGAACGCUGGCGGCGUGCUUAACACAUGCAAGUCGAACGGAAAGGCCCUGCUUGCAGGGUACUCGAGUGGCGAACGGGUGAGUAACACGUGGGUGAUCUGCCCUGCACUUCGGGAUAAGCCUGGGAAACUGGGUCUAAUACCGGAUAGGAGCCAUUUUUAGUGUGAUGGUUGGAAAGUUUUUUUCGGUGUAGGAUGAGCUCGCGGCCUAUCAGCUUGUUGGUGGGGUAAUGGCCUACCAAGGCGGCGACGGGUAGCCGGCCUGGGAGGGUGGACGGCCACAUUGGGACUGGGAUACGGCCCAGACUCCUACGGGAGGCAGCAGUGGGGAAUAUUGCACAAUGGGCGCAAGCCUGAUGCAGCGACGCCGCGUGGGGGAUGACGGCCUUCGGGUUGUAAACUCCUUUCGCUAGGGACGAAGCUUUUUGUGACGGUAUCUAGAUAAGAAGCACCGGCUAACUACGUG